CCUACGGGUGGCUGCAGUGAGGAAUAUUGGUCAAUGGGCGCGAGCCUGAACCAGCCAAGUCGCGUGAGGGAGGACGGCCCUACGGGUUGUAAACCUCUUUUGCCGGGGAGCAACGGGCGCCACGUGUGGCGUCACUGAGAGUACCCGGAGAAAAGGCAUCGGCUAACUCCAUGCCAGCAGCCGCGGUAAUACGGAGGAUGCGAGCGUUAUCCGGAUUUACUGGGUGUAAAGGGCGUGUAGCCGGGCUGACAAGUCAGAUGUGAAAUCCGGGGGCUCAACCCCCGAACUGCAUUUGAAACUGUUGGUCUUGAGUAUCGGAGAGGCAGGCGGAAUUCCUAGUGUAGCGGUGAAAUGCGUAGAUAUUAGGAGGAACACCAGUGGCGAAGGCGGCCUGCUGGACGACAACUGACGGUGAGGCGCGAAAGCGUGGGGAGCAAACAGGAUUAGAUACCCGAGUAGUC
rnacentral:rRNA from 1 species